rnacentral:rRNA from 1 species
UUACCCGGUGAAAAUUCUAGCAUAUCAAUAAGCGGAGGAAAAGAAACCAAUCAGGGGGGAUUGGCCCCAGUAACGGCGAGUGAAGCGGCAACAGCUCAAAUUUGAAAUCUGGCCCCUAGGGCCCGAGUUGUAAUUUGCAGAGGAUGCUUUUGGCGAGGUGCAUUCCGAGUUCCCUGGAACGGGACGCCAUAGAGGGUGAGAGCCCCGUCUGGUUGGACGCCGAGCCUCUGUAAAGCUCCUUCGACGAGUCGAGUAGUUUGGGAAUGCUGCUCUAAAUGGGAGGUAUAUGUCUUCUAAAGCUAAAUAUUGGCCAGAGACCGAUAGCGCACAAGUAGAGUGAUCGAAAGAUGAAAAGCACUUUGAAAAGAGAGUUAAAUAGUACGUGAAAUUGUUGAAAGGGAAGCGCUUAUGACCAGACUUGGGCCCGGUGAAUCAUCCAGCGUUCUCGCUGGUGCACUUUGCCGGUGCCCAGGCCAGCAUCAGUUUGCCCCGGGGGAUAAAGGCUUUGGGAAUGUAGCUCCCUAGGGAGUGUUAUAGCCCAUUGCAUAAUACCCUGUGGCGGACUGAGGUUCGCGCAUCUUGCAAGGAUGCUGGCGUAAUGGUCAUCAGCGACCCGUCUUGAAACACGGACCAAGGAGUCGUCUUCGUAUGCGAGUGUUCGGGUGUUAAACCCCUACGCGUAAUGAAAGUGAACGCAGGUGAGAGCUUCGGCGCAUCAUCGACCGAUCCUGAUGUUCUCGGAUGGAUUUGAGUAAGAGCAUACGGGGCCGGACCCGAAAGAAGGUGAACUAUGCCUGUAUAGGGUGAAGCCAGAGGAAACUCUGGUGGAGGCUCGCAGCGGUUCUGACGUGCAAAUCGAUCGUCAAAUAUGGGCAUGGGGGCGAAAGACUAAUCGAACCUUCUAGUAGCUGGUUUCCGCCGAAGUUUCCCUCAGGAUAGCAGUGUUGAUCUCAGUUUUAUGAGGUAAAGCGAAUGAUUAGGGACCCGGGGGCGCUAUAUUGCCUUCAUCCAUUCUCAAACUUUAAAUAUGUAAGAAGCCCUUGUUACUUAACUGAACGUGGGCAUUCGAAAUGUAUCCAUACAACUCGAGUGGGCCAUUUUUGGUAGCAACAAAACCUGGCGGAA